ensembl:lncRNA
CAGGAGUGGAGGGAGCACUAGUUUUCUUCCGAGGCAGGUCUUUACGGUAACCUUCAAAUGCUGCAAGAUUCCAGCACCUCGGCUCCCUUCCCCUGCCUCUAUUUUUAUCUCUUCUCACCCUGUCGUGUUCCUAGGAUGCUGCCUCUUGCUGUGGUGACAGACAUGAGGCUGGGCUGGGAGCAGUCAGAGACAGAUGGGAACGACCUCCUGGAAGAAGCCUGGCACGGAGGAGCUGCAAGGGCUGUGUGUGCUCUGGCUCCACCGCUCCCCGUGGCACAUCUCCAAGGCCCGCAUCCCUACGGCCCUGCAGAGGAGAGCGCCACGCCCUCCCUGCAUCCGGGUAACCACAUGCCAGGGACGUGAGGACAGCCAUGGACGCACUUCAGCAGGACACCUUGGCUUCUGGCGCUCUCCCUGUGCCAAUUAGCAGUGAAGAAUCCUUCUGCUGAAAUAAUCCGAUUAUGAGGCACUGAAUAGCAGCCACAGACUGUCACAGUCAAAUCCUCAUCUGCAGAGAAAAGAAAAUCAACCCUCUUAGCAUCGUAGGGGUUGGCCUCCUGGAACAUAAGGCAUCUUCCUCUGACAGACAUGCUUCUGAGCCUUUGGUGAGUCUGUGCCUCUCUCGGUAUCCACGAAAAUGAGAUGAAUGCAAAGAUCCCUUUCUUCCCCAAAUGCUCAUGUGUGCACUGAUUCCCAUCCAAUUUCCAGAGCUCAUGGCUCCUUGGAGACCGACCAUCCCUGGACUCCUGGCCCCACUGUUUGCGAACUGGAGAUGGGCACUUGCUGUCCGCCUCUGCACUGAUUGAAUCAGGAGCCGCUGCAGCUGCCGACUCUUAGCACCCCCGAAAGGAGCUCAGGUGGAGCCCAGGAGUGAGGCCGUCUGUGCUCCGGGAGAACUGGCAGGACAGAUUUCCAGAGAGUUAGUUAGAUAUUUUCAGGAGAAGAUUUUAUGAGCCUAAUUCUUGCAUCUCCUUGUAUCUGGAAAAGCACUAACAUCCUUCACAGUGACGCUGGCUCCUGGUGCCUAGCAGUGACCUUCACAAGACUAGCAGUGACCUUCAUGAGACUAGCAGCAACCUUCUGCAAAAUGUGUGCCUGGCUGCAUGGACCUCCCCCUUCACCAAAAUCACGUAUAUAUGGACAUUUCCUCCUGCCUCUUUGGAGAAGGUUCUGAGAGCUCUCUGAAACGCUGCCUCUGGGGCUGUGGUCCUCAUUUUGCCCCAAAUAAAACUUAACAACUCCCACA